rnacentral:rRNA from 1 species
ACGGGUGAGUAACGCGUGGGAAUCUACCUUGUGGUACGGAACAACCAAGGGAAACUUUGGCUAAUACCGUAUGAGCCCUUCGGGGGAAAGAUUUAUCGCCAUAAGAUGAGCCCGCGUAGGAUUAGCUAGUUGGUGAGGUAAUGGCUCACCAAGGCGACGAUCCUUAGCUGGUCUGAGAGGAUGACCAGCCACACUGGGACUGAGACACGGCCCAGACUCCUACGGGAGGCAGCAGUGGGGAAUAUUGGACAAUGGGCGCAAGCCUGAUCCAGCCAUGCCGCGUGUGUGAUGAAGGCCUUAGGGUUGUAAAGCACUUUCGCCGAUGAAGAUAAUGACUGUAGUCGGAGAAGAAGCCCCGGCUAACUUCGUGCCAGCAGCCGCGGCAAUACGAAGGGGGCUAGCGUUGUUCGGAAUUACUGGGCGUAAAGCGUACGUAGGCGGAUUGUUAAGUGAGGGGUGAAAUCCCGAGGCUCAACCUCGGAACUGCCUUUCAUACUGGCAAUCUUGAGUCCGGGAGAGGUGAGUGGAACUCCUAGUGUAGAGGUGAAAUUCGUAGA